AUUCCAGCUCCAAUAGCGUAUACUAAUGUUGUUGCAGUUAAAAAGCUCGUAGUUGGAUUUCUGGUUGUUUAGCUUAUGGUCCGUCUCUUUAUGGGUCGUGUACCGUUUUUGCUGACACCAUCUUAGUAGUGAGCCCUAUUGGCAUUAGGUUGUCGAUUGGAGGAGCUGCUUCGUUUACUGUGAUAACAAAUAGAGUGUUCAAAGCAGACAUUACGUCUUGAAUGCUUCAGCAUGGAAUAAAAGGAUAGGACUUCGGCACUAUUUUAUUGGUAUGUAUGCCUAGUAAUGAUUAAUAGGGAUAGUUGGGGGUAUUCAUAUUUGAUUGUCAGAGGUGAAAUUCUUGGAUUUAUGAAAGAUGAACUUAUGCGAAAGCAUUUAUCAAGGAUGUUUUCAUUA
rnacentral:rRNA from 1 species